rnacentral:rRNA from 1 species
GACGAACGCUGGCGGCGUGCUUAACACAUGCAAGUCGAACGGAAAGGCCCUGCUUUUGUGGGGUGCUCGAGUGGCGAACGGGUGAGUAACACGUGAGUAACCUGCCCUUGACUUUGGGAUAACUUCAGGAAACUGGGGCUAAUACCGGAUAGGAGCUCCUGCUGCAUGGUGGGGGUUGGAAAGUUUCGGCGGGUGGGGAUGGACUCGCGGCUUAUCAGCUUGUUGGUGGGGUAGUGGCUUACCAAGGCUUUGACGGGUAGCCGGCCUGAGAGGGUGACCGGCCACAUUGGGACUGAGAUACGGCCCAGACUCCUACGGGAGGCAGCAGUGGGGAAUAUUGCACAAUGGGCGGAAGCCUGAUGCAGAAACGCCGCGUGCGGGAUGACGGCCUUCGGGUUGUAAACCGCUUUCGCCUGUGACGAAGCGUGAGUGACGGUAAUGGGUAAAGAAGCACCGGCUAACUACGUG